AUUGAACGCUGGCGGCAGGCCUAACACAUGCGAGUCGAGCGGAUGAAGGGAGCUUGCUCCUGGAUUCAGCGGCGGACGGGUGAGUAAUGCCUAGGAAUCUGCCUGGUAGCGGGGGAUAACGUCCGGAAACGGGCGCUAAUACCGCAUACGUCCUGAGGGAGAAAGUGGGGGAUCUUCGGACCUCACGCUAUCAGAUGAGCCUAGGUCGGAUUAGCUAGUUGGUGGGGUAAAGGCCUACCAAGGCGACGAUCCGUAACUGGUCUGAGAGGAUGAUCAGUCACACUGGAACUGAGACACGGUCCAGACUCCUACGGGAGGCAGCAGUGGGGAAUAUUGGACAAUGGGCGAAAGCCUGAUCCAGCCAUGCCGCGUGUGUGAAGAAGGUCUUCGGAUUGUAAAGCACUUUAAGUUGGGAGGAAGGGCAGUAAGUUAAUACCUUGCUGUUUUGACGUUACCAACAGAAUAAGCACCGGCUAACUUCGUG
rnacentral:rRNA from 1 species